GCUGAGCUUAGUAGCGUGAGCUUGUACCUCAAGUGGGAGCAAUAAAAUGAUUGGGACGAAUAAAAUCUUCAGCCCUUGACACAAAUGGUGUGUUGGUUUGGGUUUAUAAUAAUAAGUCAUUACUGUUUGUUGGUAUAGUACUUGAUUACUAUGUUGUCUAUGUCUACCCGACAUAGCAGUGGAAGUGGAGGGGGCAACUAAUGACUCUCCCCUCAUUGGCUGGCUUAACAGAGCAGCGCUCUCAAAUUCCCAACUCACCAAUAGAGAUGUCAGACUGUUAUUGAUUCGGACCAUCAUCUUU
rnacentral:SRP_RNA from 1 species